rnacentral:lncRNA from 1 species
CCCAGCACCACGCCGCCGCACUUGAGGAACGUCACCUGCACGCGCGCGCGCACCUCCAAGGAAUUAAGAAUUUAAGAUGGUGCAGUGGUACAACUUUUUCACCGUUUCAUUCCUCGCAUGUAAAUUUAAGUUACUGCAGUUUAGCAGAUUACACGAAAACUCAGCAUGGUGAAUAUCUUGCUGAGUUCGUGAGCAUAUCUUUCAUGCGUCAUGGUGAAACGACUGCGUGUGAGACUGAUCUCUGGCAGGUCCCGAUCUCAAGCUAUCAAUGCAAAUAAAAUAAACUGCAGUACCUUUCCUUAUGAAGUGUAUGGCAAUAUCAUAAACUACUCGAAAAAGUCCAAAUAAAAUGACAGCAGUGGUGAAUGACUUGGAGGAUAGGACGUGACAUCACAUAAAACUAUUUGCAGAUAAUUAACUGCACAAGUAUUAUUCAUAAUCCAGACGCUGCGUCAUGAGAUACAGCGGCAUCAGAAGUCAAAACAAGGAGUAGAGAGAUGCCUACUCCAAGUUGCCAAUUUACUUCUGCCCACGAUUGCAGCGGCUGCCGUGCUUUACUUCUGCCCACGAUUUACACACACCGCGGCGACCGGGAUUAUACGCUUGUCAUGUUCAUCAGCUACCCUUUUCGCACGUCAUCAUCAUGUAAAAAAAAGCCUAUUCUGAGAUGUGGAUUUAUCAUAUCGAUCCCUUCAGCUUUGUUCUGUCUUAUUUUUUGGGCCGCCAACAUAACUCCGCACGCACGUCCCGAUUGUGUGAUGUUCAUCGGAUAGAUUUUGAUAGGCGUUGGCACGCUACUGAUUUCAACAGCUGUGACGGCAAUUAUUUUUCUCCCGUUUUCAUUCCUAUUGUUCAAAGAAGUCAGCUUCCACUUACGUGCAUGCAAUAAUGCAAAUGCAAGUCGUCCACACCUUGCCGAUGGAUGCAGCACUAGUCAGACAUUGACACGUAGCUAGGUAAUAGCUGAUGUACGGAUACGGCCAUCAGUUUGUUACACACAGGACAUAGGUCAUAUGGACUCUGUUUACGUUGACACCAAACCUUUGCAUCGCUCAUGCUAAGGGAGCUUGCUCAUUUGUAGCUAACGUUUGGUUCAGGAAUCACCACAACCGGUCAUGUUUGUUUCCCAACUUAGAUUAUACAAUCCAACUAAUAAUCUGUAAGCUGAAACAAAUAUGUCUUAGAUGACAAUAACAAUCCAAUAAGCUAUCCUUCCUCAGCUUAUAGAUUAUAUAUAAGAUGGAUUAUAUAUACAAUCUCAGCUCUCAGGUGCAGUGGCAGCGAAAUCUUUGAGCUAUGUUUUCGAUCCGGUGUCAUGUGGGUUUAUUACCCAAAGUUUUCAAGUGUAGCGGCUGAAGAUGUUCUUCAAAUUUUGUGAUUGCGUAGAAUCGUUCGUUCCGGCCAAUUCAGUUGUCAUCUUCACCUUUUUCUAAGUCUCAUAAAGUAAUUUCGCGUGAAUUAACCUAGAGGAAUCCCAUAAAGUUCACGCCUUCCAAGCAGAGCCAAGGAUUCAUAGCGAACUCCGUGUAGCCGACGAGCCGUUUCCACGUGUGCAUAGCUAAAGAGCGCGACUGAUUACGACCCGUGGGCAUCGAAGCUACUUACACAGGAUUAAAAGCGCAGAGAUGCUGGAUCGACCAUGGAGCAUGGAUUCAUGUGUGUGUGUGCGCACUGUCUCACCUGGAACAUGGCCAUGACGCAGGGCGGGUCGCCGGAGGGCACGAACGGCACGAACAUCCGUCUGACCUCCGGCGACGGCUCGUAGUCCCGGAAGACAUUGUCGCCCGCAAAGUCGGCCUGGGCGACCACGAAGAGCGCGCCCUCCGCGUUGCAGUCGAUCUGCAGGCGCCCGCCCUCACCCACGCCGAGCCGACCGGCCAGCGGGUAGAAUGGCACCAGCGCCCUGGCCAGCGCCGCCUUCAGCCGCUCCGCCGCAAAGAAGGAGCCCUCCGGUCCCACGCCGGCGCCGAGUUCCGACGCCGGGUAGUAGUAGACGAGCGGCGUGUGCGUCUUGGGCACGGCGAGAUCGAGGUUGGACAGCCACAGCUCCCGCCGUGGCGUGUCCUCGCUCGGCGCCACCAGCGUCGUCUCCAUCACGUCAACCUUCAUCGUCCCUCUCUCUUUCUUUGCUGUCUCUGCUGCUCGUGUAGCCUCUGCUGAUAGCGAGUCUGCGAGUGCCUUGUGCUCUCGUGGUGUGUGGAACUGCGGCGUAUUAGUAGACGGGCGAGGGAGAGGGCUUAACUUGUGGAACCUAAAUUAGAGGUACUUCUUCCGUCCUAAAUUACUAUUCGUUUUGAUUUUUCUAGAUACAUAACGUAUCUAGAUAUAGUGUAUACUAGAUACAUAGUAAAAGCUACGUACCUAGAAAAGCCAAAACGGAGGGAGUACAACUUUAAAGCCCAUUAGACCUAAAUUAGAGAUCCAAAUUCAACAUUUUAAAACAUUGCAAUCAACAUCUUCUAAGCAAGGAGGGAAAUGAUAGGCGAAUCGAGGAAGAUGAAGGGGUGGCAGGGUUUGGCAUGGGAUAGGUGGGUAAGGCUGCGGGCAGUGGAAAAAGAAAUCUGUUUUUGGUAGAAACAUUCUCUAACAUUCAAUUUCUUUGGGUCAGCACCCUUUCCCACCUCCCUCGCGCCUGACAUGUGGGUCCGGCGUAUGGGGGUAAGGUGGAGCCGAUUUGGGUAAGAAAGAUUUUCAAUUAUUUUCAUUCUUCAUAGUAUAAUAUAGAUAAUAUAGAAUUAUAGAUAGAUGUCAUACAAAUGCAACACAAUGUAGGUGAUCAGACAUUACCAUCUCAAGAGAUCUAUGCUCAAGAAAGGACUGAUGAUUGCACGCAUAUCCCAAAUAUUCCAGUUAUAGUGGAUGGUUUUCUUUUUAAACAUUUAACUAUUUCAUUAAUUGUAGGAACAAACUGAAAUAUCUCCAUUCACAUUGACCACUAUAAGAAAAAAUUGUGAUCAUGAUAGAUUGCAUUAUACUAGCAUCAUAGUAGAACAAAGACAAGGAUUAACGAAUGAGCAAAUUGAAUCAAGAUGUGCAAAAAAUAAGGCACGGUAUGCAAAAAUGACACCUGAGAGAUAAACAAUACAUCCCGAACAUAGGAAGGCUAAAAGGUGUUGAGUAUUACGCUGCAGCACUUGGAGUAUAGGGUCCAUGGCAAUACUUAGCCCUUUUAUAACCCAAUGAUUGACUCCCCAUGAAGUUCUCUUUUUUCCAUAUGCAAUAGAAGUAUGAGAUGUUCUAUAUGUUUCAUGAAAUAAAUAAAUCAGGAGUGAAUAUGAGAUGUUACGUAUAGAUAAGUAACAAAAUCAAGUUCAAUUUUUAUUAUCUAUUGAAUUGGUCACCUACAAAUUUUAUUUUUUUUAUAAAAUUUGUUGGUAAGUUUGAAAUGCUAUUGCCCAAUGACUUUGUACGCUCCAUGAAACGAGUAAGUAACAUUCUGCUCGCUAUUUUCUCCUCUACUUUCCCCACGCUACCGUGUAUACAGUGUAGCCAGGCGAUUCAGAGGGUGAAUCGACUUUUUCCUCCAUCGAUCCGCGGGUCCCCUCUCCUCUUGUGGCCUCAUCAGCGACGGAGAUGAGGGGGAGCCCGGCACCUCGACGGGAGGACCUGUAUAGCUGUAGGCCUAGGCCUUAGUGCUUGUAUGUUCCGCCGGUGGCUUUAUAUCGCCGGUUAGGGUUAGGUUUUCCUCUUCGUGUCUCCAGCGGCGGCAGCGGUGGUAGCGGCAUCUCCAGCAAAGAUCGAAGGAGGAUUGGUAUGUUCUUUCUUCUUGCGUUGGGGAAGGAAUCUGUGUGCUUAUUGACGGCAGUUAGCACGCCAAUUUGUGAACCGCAAGCGCACGAAUCAUUGUAGCUUUUCCCUUAUAGUAUUCCAUCGAAAGUUUAUCAAUCCGUGGAAUUUAAAAAUUUAAGAUGGUGCAGUGGUACAACUUUUUCACCGUUCAUUCCUCGCAUGUAAAUUUAAGUUACUGCAGUUUAGCAGAUUACACGAAAACUCAGCAUGGUGAAUAUCUUGCUGAGUUCGUGAGCAUAUCUUUCAUGCGUCAUGGUGAAACGACUGCGUGUGAGACUGAUCUCUGGCAGGUCCCGAUCUCAAGCUAUCAAUGCAAAUAAAAUAAACUGCAGUACCUUUCCUUAUGAAGUGUAUGGCAAUAUCAUAAACUACUCGAAAAAGUCCAAAUAAAAUGACAGCAGUGGUGAAUGACUUGGAGGAUAGGACGUGACAUCACAU